CCUACGGGAGGCUGCAGUGGGGAAUAUUGCACAAUGGGCGCAAGCCUGAUGCAGCGACGCCGCGUGAGCGAUGAAGGCCUUCGGGUCGUAAAGCUCUGUCCUAAGGGAAGAAUAAUGACGGUACCUUAGGAGGACGCCCCGGCUAACUACGUGCCAGCAGCCGCAGUAAUACGUAGGGGGCGAGCGUUAUCCGGAAUCACUGGGCGUAAAGGGUGCGUAAGCGGCCAUGCAAUUCAGGUGUUAAAUCCCUCGGCUCAACCGAGGUUAGCUCUUGAAACUGUAGGGCUGGAGUGCAGGUGAGGAGAGCGGAAUUCCAAGUGUAGAGGUGAAAUGCGUAUAUAUUAGGAGGAACACCAGUGGCGAAGGCGGCUCUCUGGACUGCAACUGACGCUGAGGCACGAAAGCGUGGGGAGCGAACAGGAUUAGAUACCCCGGUAGUC
rnacentral:rRNA from 1 species